UUGAUCUGGUAAAAUUUUCAAAAGCUCAUGAGAAAAAUCGCCACUUAACCUCAAUGGUUUUACUGCCCACAACAAGAAUCAAUUGCCCAAGACAAAGUAGUAGGUACCUCGGUCGGACCAAACUAAUCUAAUAAGAAUGUCCUUUCCCUGCUUACUUCAGAAAGUAAGUUAGAUUCCUGUAUUCUUGGUAACAGUCAAGUACUUCUACUUUAUUCAAAGAGUACAAGCCCAGUACUCUUCUCUGAUUAAACUUCAAAUCUCGUGCAAAAUCCAAAUGCCCAAUCCCAAUUGCCUUAUAAUAUAGUCCAAUUGAUUUCUGGGUACUCCAGAGGCAACCCAAAACCCCAAAAAUCUUACCUUUCAGCUUCGAUUUUUCGAAAAUGGCGGAGACAAAUGGCCACAAGAUUGAAGUACCCAAAUCAAUCGAGACUAGCCUGAGCCACAAGGAAGAACAAUGGCUUACCCAAGAGCCUCUGAGAGUAGAAUUCACUGCCUCGGAAUUUGACGCCUCAAAACGAAAACGCCGUCGGCGGCUCUGCGGCUGCUUCAUCUCCUGCGGCGUUUUCACCAUUAUCCUCGGCAUAAUCAUACUCAUUCUGGCCUUGACGGUGUUCAAGACCAAGGAUCCCAAAAUAACCCUUAAUUCCGUCAAAAUUGGGCACCUCAAAACCAAAAUAGAUUUGGCUGCUUUGAAAGCCCAUCUGAAUUUGACGCUCACUGCGGACAUGUCAAUCAAGAACACCAACAAGGCGGCCAGUUUCAAGCAUGCCAACAGCACCGCCACGAUGAUGUACCAGGGCAAGACUGUGGGGCAAGCCGUCAUACCUGCAGGCAAAUUGAAGGCUGACCAGACGGCCAGAAUGAAUGUUUCUGUGACGGUCUUUCUUGACGCCUUUGUGUCAAAUGUUGCUCAAUUGAUCAAUGACGCUUUCUCAGGGAGCCUGGAUAUGAGCGCCAAGACUCACAUGACUGGGAGGGUUACUAUCUUGCAUCUUGUAAAGAAGCAUGUCAACGUGGUUUCUUUGUGUGAUAUUACUGUUGAUGUGUCUUCAAUGAAAGUUAAGACGCAGAAGUGUAAAAAUAGCUACAAGCUAACAAUAAAAACCCAAAACCCCAAAAAUCUAACCUUUGAGCUUCAAAUUUUCACAAUGGCGGAGACAAAUGGCCACAAGAUUGAAGUACCCAAAUCAAUUGAGACCAGCCUGAGCCACAAGGAAGAACAAUGGCUUGCGCAAGAGCCUCUGAGAGUAGAAUUCACUGCCUCAGAAUUUGACACCUCAAAACGAAAACGCCGUCAGCGGCUCUGCGGCUGCUUCAUCUCCUGCGGCGUUUUCACCAUUAUCCUGGCCAUAAUCAUACUCGUUCUGGCCUUGACGGUGUUCAAGACCAAGGAUCCGGAAAUAACCCUCAAUUCCGUCAAAAUUGGUGACAUCAAAACCAAAAUAGAUGUGGCUGCUUUGACGGUCCACCUGAACUUGACGCUCACUGCGGACAUGUCAAUCAAGAACACCAACAAGGCGGCCAGUUUCAGGCAUGCCAAUGGCACCACCAUGAUGAUGUACCAGGGGUGACUGUGGGGCAGGCCGUCAUACCUGCGGGCAAAUUGAAGGCUAAGAAGACGGCCAGAAUGAAUGUUUCUGUGACGGUCUUUCUUGUCGCCUUUGUGUCAAGUGCUUCUCAAUUGAUCAAUGACGCUUUUGCAGGGAGCCUGAAUAUAAGCACCAGGACUCACAUGGCUGGGAGGGUUACCAUCUUGCAUCUUAUAAAGAGGCAUGUCAACGUAGUUGCUUUGUGUGAUAUUACUGUUGAUGUUAUUUCAAUGAAUGUUAAGUUCCAGAAGUGUAAAAACAGCUACAAGCUACGACCAAUCUUGUGUUCUUGGAGGAGAGAUUUUUUCAGUUUGUUUAAUAAGUUCUUACUGUUUUUACUUGUUUUCACUGAAGUUUCCGAUUUUACAGUGGUAUCUCUUAUGCCAGGUUUUCUGUUGGGAUGUGUUUUAGUUCUAACAGGAAUUCUGUUUAUCUCAUAUGCCAGGUUUUCUGUUGGAAUGUGGUUUACAUAUAACAGGAAUUCUGUUUGUUAGGUUGCUAUGUGCACCAACAAGCUGCAUUUUCUAUUUUU